rnacentral:rRNA from 1 species
AAUCAACGCUGGCGGCGUGCCUAACACAUGCAAGUCGAACGGGAAAGUGGAGCAAUCCAUGAGUAUAGUGGCGACCGGGUGAGUAACACGUGACUACCUACCCUCGAGUGGGGGAUAACCCCGGGAAACCGGGGCUAAUACCGCAUAACAUCGAGAGAUCAAAGGAGCAAUUCGCUUGAGGAGGGGGUCGCGGCUGAUUAGCUAGUGGGUAGGGUAACGGCCUACCAAGGCGAUGAUCGGUAUCCGGCCUGAGAGGGCGCACGGACACACUGGAACUGAAACACGGUCCAGACUCCUACGGGAGGCAGCAGUGGGGAAUUUUGCGCAAUGGGGGAAACCCUGACGCAGCAACGCCGCGUGGAGGAUGAAGUCCCUUGGGACGUAAACUCCUUUCGACCGGGAAGAUUAUGACGGUACCGGUGGAAGAAGCCCCGGCUAACUUCGUGCCAGCCGCCGCGGUAAAAC